AACGAACGCUGGCGGCAUGCCUAACACAUGCAAGUCGAACGAGACCUUCGGGUCUAGUGGCGCACCGCUGCGUAACGCGUGGGAACCUGCCCUUAGGUUCGCUAUCCCUCCCCGUAAGGUGUGCUAAUAACGGUUAGUGUCUUCGCACCAAAGAUUUAUCGCCUUGGGAUGGGCCCGCGUUAGUUUCGCUGGUUGGUAGGGUAAAAGCCUACCAAGGGGACGUUCCAUAGCUGGUCUGAGAGGAUGAUCAGCCACACUGGGACUGAGACACGGCCCAGACUCCGACGGGAGGCAGCAGUGGGGAAUAUUGGACGAUGGGCGAAAGCCUGACCCAGCAAUGCCGCGUGAGUGAGGAAGGCCUUAGGGUUGUAAAGCUCUUUUACCCGGGAUGAUAAUGACAGUACCGGGAGAAUAAGCUCCGGCUAACUCCGUG
rnacentral:rRNA from 1 species